GCAGAGAAGAAAGCAGAGAGAAAGGUUGUUUGUUGAUUUUGGAGGAGGAAGAGGCGGAGGGGGGAAUAGGAUUAGCCUAGGCUUGGCUGGUAUCAAUCUCUCCUUAGUACCAGCUUGCACCUGCACUAAUGCUGGGCAUGGACCUCUCCUCUCCCCUUGUUUCCACUUGAAUAGGAGGGAGGGAGUAAUUUAGUGAAUCUGUUUCAUGGUGAAGGGGUGAAGGGGGCACCCAGAAAGACCCUGAGUGGUCAGGCAGGUUCUCAUAAUCUGCACAGGGGCCAGAAUGGGAACCGAGCUGGGAGAGCUCGGAAGAGAUCAAGUUUAUUUGUUCUUGUUGACUUCUUUUCAGACGCAUGGAUGACAGAGCAGAAACUGAAGUCACGUGGGGGAGACACAGACACAUGAACCAGGAGUCAGUGCCUGCAGUCACCUGGCAGAGACAUGUGAGAACAGCAGCAAGCAUCUCAGGCAGGCUUCCAGACCACUGUGGC
rnacentral:lncRNA from 1 species